rnacentral:rRNA from 1 species
AGAGUUUGAUCCUGGCUCAGGAUGAACGCUGGCGGCGUGCCUAAUACAUGCAAGUCGAACGCUUCACUUCGGUGAAGAGUGGCGAACGGGUGAGUAAUACAUAAGUAACCUGGCAUCUACAGGGGGAUAACUGAUGGAAACGUCAGCUAAGACCGCAUAGGUGUAGAGAUCGCAUGAACUCUAUAUGAAAAGUGCUACGGGACUGGUAGAUGAUGGACUUAUGGCGCAUUAGCUUGUUGGUAGGGUAACGGCCUACCAAGGCGACGAUUCGUAGCCGACCUGAGAGGGUGACCGGCCACACUGGGACUGAGACACGGCCCAGACUCCUACGGGAGGCAGCAGUAGGGAAUUUUCGGCAAUGGGGGAAACCCUGACCGAGCAACGCCGCGUGAAGGAAGAAGUAAUUCGUUAUGUAAACUUCUGUCAUAGAGGAAGAACGGUGGAUAUAGGGAAUGAUAUCCAAGUGACGGUACUCUAUAAGAAAGCCACGGCUAACUACGUGCCAGCAGCCGCGGUAAUACGUAGGUGGCGAGCGUUAUCCGGAAUUAUUGGGCGUAAAGAGGGAGCAGGCGGCACUAAGGGUCUGUGGUGAAAGAUCGAAGCUUAACUUCGGUAAGCCAUGGAAACCGUAGAGCUAGAGUGUGUGAGAGGAUCGUGGAAUUCCAUGUGUAGCGGUGAAAUGCGUAGAUAUAUGGAGGAACACCAGUGGCGAAGGCGACGAUCUGGCGCAUAACUGACGCUCAGUCCCGAAAGCGUGGGGAGCAAAUAGGAUUAGAUACCCUAGUAGUCCACGCCGUAAACGAUGAGUACUAAGUGUUGGGUGUCAAAGCUCAGUGCUGCAUUAACGCAAUAAGUACUCCGCCUGAGUAGUACGUUCGCAAGAAUGAAACUCAAAGGAAUUGACGGGGGCCCGCACAAGCGGUGGAGCAUGUGGUUUAAUUCGAAGCAACGCGAAGAACCUUACCAGGUCUUGACAUCGAUCUAAAGGCUCCAGAGAUGGAGAGAUAGCUAUAGAGAAGACAGGUGGUGCAUGGUUGUCGUCAGCUCGUGUCGUGAGAUGUUGGGUUAAGUCCCGCAACGAGCGCAACCCCUGUUGCCAGUUGCCAGCAUUAAGUUGGGGACUCUGGCGAGACUGCCGGUGACAAGCCGGAGGAAGGCGGGGAUGACGUCAAAUCAUCAUGCCCCUUAUGACCUGGGCUACACACGUGCUACAAUGGACAGAGCAGAGGGAAGCGAAGCCGCGAGGUGGAGCGAAACCCAUAAAACUGUUCUCAGUUCGGACUGCAGUCUGCAACUCGACUGCACGAAGAUGGAAUCGCUAGUAAUCGCGAAUCAGCAUGUCGCGGUGAAUACGUUCUCGGGCCUUGUACACACCGCCCGUCACACCAUGAGAGUCGGUAACACCCGAAGCCGGUGGCCUAACCGCAAGGAAGGAGCUGUCUAAGGUGGGACUGAUGAUUGGGGUGAAGUCGAAACAAGGUA